CAGGCUCCUAUAAAAGCAGGUGGGGAAGAAAUAGCAGCUGGUGGGAAGAGAUCACCAAAGACCCGAUGUGUGUCCUGAGCCGCCUCUCGACUUGCAGAGAUCCUCCCCAUCUGCCCGAAAUCAGGCUCCAGCUCCGGGCCGAGCCUUUCUUCAAAUAUCGGUGAUCCCUUCGGCAGUCAGUGGCUGCGGUGGGAAGGUCGGGGUCUGCCCGGAGCUGGCACUCACUGCCACUCAGCACUGCUGAUGGGGACCAGAAUCCUCUAUUUAAGUCUAAAAAGGCUGUUUCCCUCCCUGUAGCAAACCCAGCAGCGUCUCAGCGAGCCCAGAGAAAGCAUUAAAUGCCGCGUUCCCAUUUCGAAAGGCCACCGUAAAAAUAAAUGAUUGAUGGAAACCAAACAAGAAGAGGGAGCUCUGCAGAAGAACUGCUGUGGUUGCAAGAGCCAAGUCCUGCAAGACCAGCCAAACUGGCCGUCCUGCUCCGGAGAAACUCAACGCACGGACCGUAGCCAACUGCCCGGGCACGGUGUGUGCGGCCGAGAGGAUUUCACUGAUGUCUCACUGCCACCGUCACAACCAGAGGGUUUGAAAGCCUUUGAUCCGAUGCAAGCAGAGCUCUGCGUCUUUGGCAGUGGGUUUUUUUGUGGGUUUUUUUUUUAGAUGCCUGGGUUCGUGAGCUGUUCUUUCACCUCCUUGCGCUGUUUUCCAGACACAGAUGAGAUUAUUUCUUGUAUCACCGGCAUUAUAAAUAAGCUAAUGGAUAUUUAGCUCAUUAAGUGGGUACCACACGUGCUAUUGCUUUACAAACUCAGGACUUAAUCCUGCAAACCGCCAGGCAUUUUCAGCCAUUUAAACUUCACGGGACAAGUCCCACAAGAAAUAGCUUAUCCCUCUUCUGUUAAGGGUUGGCGUGCUGCCGCCGGCGCUUUCCCAGGCAGACACCCGUGGAUGUGAUGAACGAAUGUGCUGAGGACGGGCUGUGUGGGUGCAAGGGAGCUCUGAGGAACAUCGCUCCUCGCUGACGGAGGAAAGCCCGGUGCUUUGCUCCCUGCCUCCGUGACCAGCCAUGCAGGGCAGCUCGGCCAAAACAGCCGAGAGCAUCGCACAUCACUCGAAGCAAACACCUUCAGCAGCGUGGUAGUGGUCAUAGGAGAUUUUACAAGAGCUCCAGCUUAGCCAGUCUCCACGAUAUCAGAUUUUUUAAAUUUUUUUUUUUUUUUUAGGGAAACCUAAA
rnacentral:lncRNA from 1 species